rnacentral:lncRNA from 1 species
UUUAUAUGCAAAUUGUUAUGGCAAAUCUCCCAUCAACUUAAUUGUCAGGAAAUGAGGUUCAUCAAAAUGAACCUCAGCUGUUUCUAGCUGUCUCCGUAGUCCUGCUUCUCACCUGUUCAGGCACAGACUCCUCAGUUUCUUCUGCUCAGUCUCUUCGUUUGAUCCUCAGGCUGCUUCUGCCUUCCUGACAAGACAGCUUCUCCGCCUGGUGCUCCUGCAUUGCCCACCUCUGUGGCUCCCCACCUGCCCCCUCCUUACCGCACGCUCACUCUCUUCUCCAGGCUCCGGGGAGGAGGAACUCCUCUCACUUGUAUCAUUCCUUCCUAAAAUGCAUGCACCAGGCCUUCCUUAGUGAUCCACAACACCCCUGAGCCCAUAAUAAUUCUUGCUUAGGCUUUACGGAUGCAUCAUGGAUAAAAGAAGAGGGCUUUCAGUCGGAGAAUUCCUAACACCCACUGUCCGACUUAUGCUCACACCUGUGCACUUAAAGGCGCAUUCUUUGCCUUACUUUCAGCUGGUCUCCUCUGGCCAGGAGCAGCUCACACCCCACCAUUUGAACCACUCUAGGAUUCUCAGUCCUCUUCACGCAGCAAAUGCCUCUUCCCAGAAGGAGACGUUUCCCCUCUACCCAACUUUCACACCAGCCACCCUCCUCACACCGUCUCUCUGCUUUAACCUCUUUUAGGAUGAUUGAUGGUAGGAAAACUCCUCCUGACUGGGGGAAAAUACACCCCAGUCCUCAAGGAUGUGGUCUGGUUCUGUGCUCUUGUUAAGAGCCCUGUUGGCUACUGGUCGACUGAACACGUUCUCCUUCCGGCCCGUGCUGCGAGCACUGUAAUGCGGCUUCCCUCCUGGGACAAGAUAGUCUUCUGUUCUUGGCGUCAAGCACGGGCCAGCUCAAAGCUUGGUGAAAGGAGGGUUUGUCUGGGAAGCGAAGUCCAUAAGGUGAAUCCAGUCUACCUGGAGGAGGAUCGAAGCUUGAGAAGACUACAAGACAGUUGGUGUCUUCAGAAUUUAAGCUCAUUGAGCAAUAUAAAAUUGUGAACUUUUAAAUUACAUCUUCCUUACAUAGUUUGAGAUCUGAAAUUUCUAAAACUGCGUUAAAAUAGUCUGGGCUUUUGGAUGGUGUACAGUAAAAGAGACUGCAAGCAGAGAAGAAGGCCUAUGAAUCCUAAGAUUUUAUCUUUGAAGGAGAAAUAUUUAUGAAUCUUAAGAUUUUAUCUUUGAAGGAGAAAUAUUCCCUAUUAUCUUAAUCGAACCAAGUGGUGUGCUGGAAUGCCCUCCCUAAAGGUCCACUGUUAAGAGUUCACUGUUAGGAGAAUAUCACCAGAAUUAAGGCGUAAAUUAUAGGCUUUCAAUCUGAGGCAGAACUACACUGCAAUCCAUAUGGAAGAUGGAAAGGCCCUUGAGGACUUCUAGUAAAAGUUGUCUUCUCAUAAGAAACUGGCUAGCUAGGAAUGUGUCUUAUCGGUGCUUUCCUUCUGAAGACCCUGGUUUGUCAAAAAAGAUGACCUUCCAUGUCCCAAGUUAUCAUGAAUUUGAGCUACCUUAGGACCAGGGCCUCUCCCUCCUCCAUGAGCCUACAGGACACAGGUAAAAGCAGCAUAGUCGGAGAAAAGCAUGAGGAUGUGGUGGCCAAACAGAUUCAUCUUUGAAUCCCAGCUUCAUCUGAUAAGGUUGCUGAGAAGAGUAAAUUUAGUAAUAUAUGCAAAGAUUCUGGCACAGUGUUGGUGUUCAACAAAUGUUAUUUCUU